UGAACAGCAAACAGUGAUGUUCCUCAGACUAACAACACAGCGCUCUCUGCACUGAGACAUCUCUGAUCGUAAAAAGAGCGACAACAUGACAACUUGGGAUUCCAUCAAACUUAUUUUUCUGAUUCUGACUCUGCUGUGCGCUGUUCCCUCCUGUUGCAAGUACUGCUUUGGGCGCUGUUAUGAAACACCAGAUGAUGACAGAGACACACCUGUUAUUUUUGUUGCAAACACUGAGGAGGUGUAAGUUAUGUCAAUAAUGUCCAGUCUCAGCUCAGGUAAGAGCAGGAUUCAACUCCCAGCUUCAUAA